rnacentral:rRNA from 1 species
GACGUAGGGCGCGAGCGUUGUCCGGAAUUACUGGGCGUAAAGGGCUCGUAGGCGGCCAACUAAGUCAGACGUGAAAUCCCUCGGCUUAACCGGGGAACUGCGUCUGAUACUGGAUGGCUUGAGGUUGGGAGAGGGAUGCGGAAUUCCAGGUGUAGCGGUGAAAUGCGUAGAUAUCUGGAGGAACACCGGUGGCGAAGGCGGCAUCCUGGACCAAUUCUGACGCUGAGGAGCGAAAGCUAGGGGAGCAAACGGG